UAUUCACCGGGGAUCGCCCGGAUCGGCUGCAGCUUUUUUGUCCCUGCCGUGAAUAUUCAACGAGUUGUGAGGUCGACUUGAUAAGAAUGAUGUCGCACGCUGCGGACGAAUGAAAUUUCACUCCCGAACCUCCAAAUUUUACUGAAUUUCCUUGCUUGUGGUACUUUUGAAAGUUCUCGUGUACCGUUCAGACAGCAUCUUUUUCGAUAUAAAGCAGUAACUGUAGAGGCUAC
rnacentral:lncRNA from 1 species